CUGGUAGUUUACAACAUCGUUUCUGUGGCAUCAAGACGUAUCAGGAGUUUUGAUUCAACUGCGGGAUACUGUUGCUGACGAUAAGCGGUUUACAUAAGUGCUUAUUCUGGAACAAUCCAUAAGGAAAGGGAGAGAGAGAAAAAAAGAUGUUCAGAAACGAACUUGUGAAGUGCGUCUACCUGCUACUCUGGAUUUCGGGAAGCAACAAGAAUCUCCCUGAAGCAUGCAUGAAAGGGCCAUUUAGACG